rnacentral:RNase_P_RNA from 1 species
GAGCUGAGCGGUCGCGUGAUACUAUGCCGAAAGGCCGUAUCAUGAGGAAAGUCCGGGCUCCGCAGGGCAGGAUAACGGAUAACGUCCGCCGAAGGUGACUUCAGGGAAAGUGCAACAGAAAUAAACCGGAUGCUGAUAUGUCCAAGGCUAUAGGAUGUUUUGCGUCUAAGGAUGGAAAGGCGAGGUAAGAGCUCACCGGCACACUGGCGACUUUGUGCAAAUGUAAACCCUAUCCGGAGCAACACCGUAUGCAAAAGCAGACCCUCUUGAAUUGGUCUGAUGUUGGCCCGGCAGAAUUUUGCGGGUGGCAUGAGCGUCGCGGCAACACGGCGCCGAGACAGAUGACCGCUUAGGCGUACGGGACAUUAUUAAAGAUACAAUCGUUCCGGACGCCGGACAGAACCCGGCUUACAGGCUCAGUU